UGAUCCCCCACACUGGUACUGAGACACGGACCAGACUCCUACGGGAGGCAGCAGUGAGGAAUAUUGGUCAAUGGGCGAGAGCCUGAACCAGCCAUGCCGCGCGCAGGAAGACGGCCCUACGGGUUGUAAACUGCUUUUGUUUGGGAAUAAAAGCGCCUACGUGUAGGUGACUGAAGGUACCAGAUGAAUAAGCAUCGGCUAACUCCGUGCCAGCAGCCGCGGUAAUACGGAGGAUGCGAGCGUUAUCCGGAUUUAUUAGGUUUAAAGGGUGUGUAGGCGGAAGUCUAAGUCAGUGGUGAAAUCCCCCAGCUUAACUGGGGAACUGCCAUAGAUACAGGAUUUCUUGAGUACAGUUGAAGUAGGCGGAAUGUGUAAUGUAGCGGUGAAAUGCUUAGAUAUUACACAGAACACCGAUUGCGAAGGCAGCUUGCUAAGCUGUUACUGACGCUGAUGCACGAAAGCGUGGGUAGCGAACAGGAUUAGAUACCCUGGUAGUCCACGCCGUAAACGAUGAUUACUCGUUGUUGGCGAUAUAUAGUCAGCGACUGAGCGAAAGCAUUAAGUAAUCCACCUGGGGAGUACGGCGGCAACGCUGAAACUCAAAGGAAUUGACGGGGGCCCGCACAAGCGGAGGAACAUGUGGUUUAAUUCGAUGAUACGCGAGGAACCUUACCUGGGCCUUAAAUGUAGCGUGACCGUCCCUGAAAGGGGAUUUUCCAAGCAAUUGGCAGGUAACAAGUGCUGCAAGGCUGUCGUCAGCUCCGUGUCGUGAAGUGUCGGGUUAAGUCCCAUAACGAAGCGCAACCCU
rnacentral:rRNA from 1 species